ACCAACAUGAAAACACUGGUUCUCAUAUGAUCACUGAAGUUAAGCAAUGUCAAGCUUAGUCAUUACCUAGAUGGGUGACCAUUUGAGAAUACCAGGUACUGUAA